AUUGAACGCUGGCGGCAGGCCUAACACAUGCAAGUCGAACGAGUGGCGGACGGGUGAGUAAUGUCUGGGAAACUGCCCGAUGGAGGGGGAUAACUAAUGGAAACGGUAGCUAAUACCGCAUCCCAUCGGAUGUGCCCAGAUGGGAUUAGCUUGUGGGUGAGGUAACGGCUCACCUAGGCGACCAUCCCUAGCUGGUCUGAGAGGAUGACCAGCCAAGCUGGAAUGGAAAACCGGUCCAAACCCCAAGGGAGGGCAGUAGGGGGGAAUAUUGCAAAUUGGGGACAACCCUGAUGCAGCAAUGCCGCGUGUAUAAAGAAGCCUUUCGGGUUGUAAAGUACUUUCAGAGGGGAGGCUUUACCCGCAGAAGAAGCACCGGCUAAUUCCGUGCCGGCAGCCGCGGUAAUUC
rnacentral:rRNA from 1 species